rnacentral:tRNA from 1 species
GGUUGUAGUUCAGUGGUAGAGUGCUCACCUCGCAUGUGGAGGGCCCUGGGUUUGAUCCUCAGCACCA